GACGAGGCAACAUGGCGCUUUGUUUACGAGCUGAUCGUCGAGGUUUGAUUUUCUAGUCGAGGCGAUAUUAAAUUAUUGAUAUCAUACUAAUGAAUGAGUGAUGGAUCCUGUCACGCCUCCACAAUUGCAGCACGGUGCGCAUGGUGCUGUUGAUGUCACCUCCUGGGUGUCAGUGUGUCCCAGAGGUCCCUGGAGGGUCACAAGACGAGAGUGCAUAGAACCAGGUCACAGACGGUCUGUAAUUCUGAAGACUGGUCAUCCUGUUUCUGUCCAAGGUUGGGUUCAGUUUGUCAAAUCCGAGUUCACCUUAAAGUGAACACAGAUGAACCAGAGUGUGCAGAAUCCAAAAGAGGAAAUGACAAGCUGUCAGUCAAAGGCGAACAGCCAGUGGAUGAGUUGACAGAGACAGUGACCACACCCUUCACACGACGUCGGGACUCUUGUGCUGCAGGUUCCGCUGGGUGAAUGGACAAACGCUGAGGCUUGGGGAGGGUCAGGUGCGAUAUCACUGAAGCAUGUCUAGAGGGGAUAGAGCUGGAGAGAAAUGUGAGAUACUGCUGACUCCUUUUGAGAAUGAACCAGAGGACUCUGUUCUCCAUCCUGCACAGCAAAAUGAGCAUUUAUCUGCUACAGUCGAACUUCAUGCUUACACACCAGGGAAAGACUCCUGGGAAAUGUCUCCAGGAGAAAAUGGGAGUGGGUGAAAUCUCACAAGGAGCGUGGCGAGCUCGGUUCAGUAGCGGGGAUGUGUGGGGAGCUGCGACAGCUACAGCCGGGCGCUGAAACGCCUCAUCACCCUGUACAGACACGUCCUAAGGCAGAGAGAUCCGGAGAGAGGCGGACGCCUGCGUUGAACCCCGUGUGAGUUUUACCAUCGGCUAUCGAGUUACAGAACUAUGAAAGCAGAGCUUCACUCCAACAUGUCUUUGUGCCAGCUGAAACUGAAGCAACCAGAUAGGGCGAAGGCCAAUGCUGCUCAGGCCACAGAGCUGAACCCUGGUGGGACUAAAGCUUGGUACAGACUGGGCCAAGCCUGCCAGAUGCUCAACGAGCUGGAGGAGGCAAAGCAUGCGUUUCGGAGGGUCCUAGAGCUCCAGCCAGAAUCACCUGCUGCGUUAAAGGCACUUAACGUUGUAGCAAGUAAAGAGAAAGAGACAAAGUGCAAAGCUGGGAUUGAGACUCAGUAAAAAUGUUCAUGUAAUGAAUAAAAAAAAAACCUUACACAAGACCUCA